rfam:Populus trichocarpa isolate Nisqually-1 chromosome 17, whole genome shotgun sequence.
UAAUUUGUUUAAGGCAAUUUCUCAUUUAGUUUGGUAGACCCACAACUGACUCAUCAGAAUCACCCAUUAUUAUAUGUCCGACUACAUCAUUAACAUUAAAAACAAAGGACAACUACUAUAUGAACAAUAACUUUUUAAGAU